rnacentral:lncRNA from 1 species
AUUGUAAUUUAUAAUGUGUAUUUGGUCAUUCAGAUGACCAAAUUUGUUUCUCAGAUAUAUUUGGUCUUCAUCCACAGUUCCUGACUUACAUUCCCCAAAACCUUGUCCUACCUGUUGAAAGUGAAAAAGGUAUCAUUUGUUGUGUUAAUGAGGUGAUGUUGCAUCUCCGGAAUGAGGCUGGCUGCCUGGAGAACCAACCUGGUGAUUAGAGGGUAGGAAUUUUUAGUUCCACCUCCUGACCCCUGGGGAGGAAAAAGGAGCUGGAUGUUGAAUCAAUAGCCAAUGGCCAAGGAUUUCACCAAUCACACCUUUGUAAUGAAGCCUCCUAAAAAGCCCGAAAGGACAGGGUUCAGAGAUCUUCUGGGUUGGUGAACAAACCCAUGGAGGUGUGGGUGAGUGUACUCCAGGAGAGGCCGUGGAAGCCCCACCCUUGCCCUCACAUCUUGCCCUAUGCAUCUCUUCCAUCUGGCUGUUUCUUAGUUAUUUCCUAAGUAUUCUUUCCUCAGUGCUGAAUACUAAUUUGAGGGGAUAUCUUUGGUUCUUUGCAGAGAAUGGAGGCUGCAGUAUCAACCCCUAGAGAUUUCCACCAGCUUGGGCCCCUGCAUGGUGCUCCUUCAUCUGGUUGAGUCUGCAGUUGCCAAGGGAGUGAUGGGAGAAUUUCUUGAAGAGGCUUCCAUUCAACCCUGCUCAUUUGCUGGGCUGGCUAUGGCUACAUAAUGGAGAAGAUGAGUCCUGACAGCAGCAGAUUUACAUAGUCCUGCAUGCCUUCUAGUAAGUAAAUAAGCCUCUCUCCCAGAUCAUCCAUAUCAAUCUUUGAAAAAUAUUCUGGCUCUGCUUGUAUCACAUGCAUUCUUGGACCAAUCACAAUGUGUGAGGGGGAAUGCAACACUCUCAUUGGCCAGCCUGAGUCACAGGCUGUCUCCCUGUAGGACAGAUGAAGCCCUGUCUUUGACAGCUCUUACUGUUCCCAAAACAUAAGGAGGCUGAGCAGACAAAAAGGUAAGAUGAUUAAAAUGGGCACAAGAAUUACUAACUUAACUAACUUAAUAAACAGGGCAGUCUCACUUGCUGGGGGCUAAAUGAGGAAUAGAAGCAUAUGGAAAAAAGUUGCUUGCUACCUCAUUAAGCAAGAGAUACAAUGUGUUUAAAAUAGCUCCCUUGAGCACAGCACACUGCUUGAACAAUGAUGAAGAGAUGUAGACCUCUACUACUGGCAUAAUGAUAACUUUCAUCCCAGAAGCAUUUCUUUUUUCCUAGCACGGAAAUCAGGAGUCUCCAUAGUCAUUAUUCUGAAACAAAAAUCAGUUUAGAAGUAAAAAACCAUUACAACUAUCUUAUAGGAGAGAGAGAGAGAGAGAGAGAGAGAGAGAGAGAGAGAGAGAGAAAAUGUCUUCAUCCAAACAUUGAAUGUCUACCUCUGGAUUCUCUCAAGCUGGACAUCCUUCCAGAGCUGCUUUCCCAGGAGACCAUCUUAUCUUUUUCUGACUGGUCAUUACUCAAGGAAUCUUGGAGCAAGAGCUUGAGGUUAGUACUGUAGAUGAACUAGACCAAAGGGUCCUUUCCCUUCUCCCUUCUCCUCCCCUCCAUCCUCCAACCACCUUAGAAACUCAACUCUUAACUGCUCUACCAGCAUCUCCAUUGUACUUUCUCUAUUAUAAAAGUCUUCUUAUUUUGUUGUCCAAAUUUGUCUCUAUGUGCAUCUUUCCCCAUUUUUUCCAGCCCCCAUCAUUGACAAGAGGGCAAAGCCCCCGUUAAUUCAUUUUUGUCUCUACAGCAGUUCUUACUGCCUGGCAUAUAGUAGGUACUCAAAUCUUAGUUUAAUGAAUGAGAGCUUGACCAUUAUUUGUAACGUAGUGAUUCUCUGGUUUGUUAAGAGGCAGCGAGAAUAAAAUUCCAGGAAAUAUUUUCAGAAUUCAAAGAACUAUGGCUAUUCUAAGCUUAAAAUUAAAUAGUCUAAAUAUAUAAUUAUAUAUACUAGAUUGAAUCUCAUACUAUAUUUUGUUAUAGAAAAGUAGUAACAUUAUCACAGGUUUAAGGAAAGUAGUGAGACAUGUAGCUUAAGAUGAGCAUUAAGAGACUUCCUUUGUGGCACGGCAGGUUAAGAUCCAGCAUUGUCGCUACAGUGGCUUGGAUUCAAUUCCUGGCCUAGGAACUUCCAUAUGC